rnacentral:rRNA from 1 species
GACGAACGCUGGCGGCGUGCUUAACACAUGCAAGUCGAACGAAGAGCGAUGGAAGCUUGCUUCUAUCAAUCUUAGUGGCAAACGGGUGAGUAACGCGUAAUCAACCUGCCCUUCAGAGGGGGACAACAGUUGGAAACGACUGCUAAUACCGCAUACGAUCUAACCUCGGCAUCGAGGAUAGAUGAAAGGUGGCCUCUACAUGUAAGCUAUCACUGAAGGAGGGGAUUGCGUCUGAUUAGCUAGUUGGAGGGGUAACGGCCCACCAAGGCGAUGAUCAGUAGCCGGUCUGAGAGGAUGAACGGCCACAUUGGGACUGAGACACGGCCCAGACUCCUACGGGAGGCAGCAGUGGGGAAUCUUCCGCAAUGGACGAAAGUCUGACGGAGCAACGCCGCGUGAGUGAUGACGGCCUUCGGGUUGUAAAGCUCUGUUAAUCGGGACGAAAGGCCUUCUUGCGAAUAGUGAGAAGGAUUGACGGUACCGGAAUAGAAAGCCACGGCUAACUACGUG